rnacentral:lncRNA from 1 species
UCGGUCUCGGUAGUGACUAGCGACCUCAACCUUUGUCUAUGGUGGCAUCAGUGCUGUUUCGGCUGUUGUGAAGGCUUGGAAGUGCGCGGCAUAAGCUGAUCUCUCGAGCCGAGGCCAGUGUUUGUGUACCGUCUCAUGCGAGCAGUGCUGCCUGGAGCCGCGAGGGGACGGAGCUCGGCCGGCGUGCUGCAUACGAGAGCCGCAUCAUCGAAGUCAGCGAUGACUUCCCCGAAGGACCUGGAGGACCUGUCCUCGGACGCCAAUGUGCUCAGCCUGGCCUACGGCGGACACAACGAGGACAUUCUCAACAAGGCCAAGGAGCUGCUGGCAGAGUCUACCCGACACGCGCUGGU